rnacentral:rRNA from 1 species
UACGUAGGUGGCAAGCGUUGCCCGGAUUUAUUGGGUUUAAAGGGUGCGUAGGCGGUCUAUUAAGUCAGUGCUGAAAUAUCCCGGCUUAACCGGGAGGGUGGCAUUGAUACUGAUGGACUUGAGUAAAGUUGAGGUUGGCGGAAUUGACGGUGUAGCGGUGAAAUGCUUAGAUAUCGUCAAGAACACCUAUUGCGAAGGCAGCUAACUAAGCUUAAACUGACGCUGAGGCACGAAAGUGUGGGGAUCAAACAGG